rnacentral:rRNA from 1 species
GACGUAGGGCGCGAGCGUUCGUCCGGAUUUAUUGGGCGUAAAGAGCUCGUAGGCGGCUUGUCGCGUCGACUGUGAAAACCCGCGGCUCAACUGCGGGCUUGCAGCCGAUACGGGCAGGCGUAGAGUUCGGUAGGGGAGACUGGAAUUCCUGGUGUAGCGGUGAAAUGCGCAGAUAUCAGGAGGAACACCGGUGGCGAAGGCGGGUCUCUGGGC